AAAUAAAAUAAUAAUAAUAAAUUAAAUGACCACUCAUAUCUAAUAUCAAGUAUUAGAAAAGUAUGGGCAAAUGGCCUAUAGCAGUCUUACAAGGUUGGUGGGAAUAUAAAUCAAUUUAGGGCAAUCUGUAAGUACAUAUUACAAUUUUUUUCAACAGUGUAAGGAGGUUUUUGUUUGUUUUUUUGUUUUGUUUUGUUUUGUUUUUGAGAUAGAUUCUUGCUCAUAUAACUAGCCGGGUGUGGUGGCUCAUGCCUAUAAUCUCAGCAUUUUGGGAGGCCAAGGCAGGCAGAUCGCUUGAGUCCAGGAGAGCAUUUGUAUGGCUCCAUCAGAGGCUUCCCUGGGGGCGCUUUCCAAAGGCAGUGGCAACUUCCUGAAGUGAGGUGAUGUAUUCUAUUUCUAUAGCCA
rnacentral:lncRNA from 10 species